rnacentral:rRNA from 1 species
UACGUAGGGUGCGAGCGUUAAUCGGAAUUACUGGGCGUAAAGCGUGCGCAGGCGGAUUGUUAAGCAAGAUGUGAAAUCCCCGGGCUUAACCUGGGAAUGGCGAUGGAGACUGCAAGGCUAGAAUCUGGCAGAGGGGGGUAGAAUUCCACGUGUAGCAGUGAAAUGCGUAGAGAUGUGGAGGAACACCGAUGGCGAAGGCAGCCCCCUGGGCUAAGAUUGACGCUCAUGCACGAAAGCGUGGGGAGCAAACAGG